GGCCUGGCAGUCGCUCCAAGUUCUUUGAUCCCAAGGUGCGGUUAAUCGCCGCGCCCGUUUUGAUACUUGGAGAGGAAAGUCCGGACACCAUAGGGCAGGAUGCUGCGUGAGGUUCACACCAAGCGUAGGCGCCGCGUCUCAAAGCGCGGUGACGGCUCAGUGUCACAGAGAAUAUACCGCCGCGCGGGCAACCGUGCGGUAAGGGUGAAAAGGUGGGGUAAAAGCCCACCGCACUCGCCGCGAGGCGGGUGGCAGGACAAACCCCUUCCGGUGCAAGGCAAAAUAGGCGGCUGGGUUGCCCGCCCAAUAGCCGCGGGUAUGUCGCAUUCUAUCGCUAGGCAAGUGCUAGGCGUGGAACUCGUCCGCAAGGGCGUUGAGAUAAAUGACUGCCGAAUCCCGCGAAAGCAGGAGGCACAGAAUCCGGCUUACCGGCCUCAA
rnacentral:RNase_P_RNA from 1 species